UACGAAGGGGGCUAGCGUUGCUCGGAAUGACUGGGCGUAAAGGGCGCGUAGGCGGUUUGGUUAGUUAGGCGUGAAAUUCCUGGGCUCAACCUGGGGGCUGCGCUUAAUACAGCCAGACUAGAGUGUGAGAGAGGGUCGUGGAAUUCCCAGUGUAGAGGUGAAAUUCGUAGAUAUUGGGAAGAACACCGGUGGCGAAGGCGGCGACCUGGUUCAUUACUGACGCUGAGGCGCGAAAGCGUGGGGAGCAAACAGG
rnacentral:rRNA from 1 species